CAUGAUGUGGCAACAACAAAUGAAUCUUGAUAUUGUCACGAGCUCGAAUCCUAGCCUUCUUAGUAUGAGCCGGUCAGCUAUGGGCAACCUAGGUUGGUUUACUUUCUUGUGGUCCUUUGCCGGCUAAGAUCACAAGGCAGGGUUUACCCAGUGCACACCCUUGGGUAGUCGCUGCGGGUCUCCCUCGUCACCC